GCCUGGUCGUCGGGAACGAGCGCCUGCAAAAAAGGAAGUCCACACAGACCGGUGGUGACUCCGGCGGGGACCCUCCGACGGUCAAGUCAGAGAGGUGACUGGGCAACAGUGAAAUGAAGACAGAGAGCGCAAUCGAGAGAGAGAAAGAGAGAGUUAGAGGGAGCAAGCCUGUUGCUUUUUUUUUGGAGGGCCUCUGCACUGUUGCCUUCCCCGAUAUAUAUAGUGGAGCGUGGUAUGGCGCCGUCAUCAAUGGCGCGGACAAUU
rnacentral:lncRNA from 1 species